CGCGGGGUAGAGCAGUUGGCAGCUCGUCGGGCUCAUAACCCGGAGGCCGCAGGUUCGAGUCCUGCCCCCGCUA
rfam:Treponema berlinense strain ATCC BAA-909 genome assembly, contig: EI67DRAFT_scaffold00018.18